rnacentral:rRNA from 1 species
GAUGAACGCUGGCGGCGUGCCUAAUACAUGCGAGUCGAGCGAACAGAUGAGGAGCUUGCUCCUCUGACGUUAGCGGCGGACGGGUGAGUAACACGUGGAUAACCUACCUAUAAGACUGGGAUAACUUCGGGAAACCGGAGCUAAUACCGGAUAAUAUAUUGAACCGCAUGGUUCAAUAGUGAAAGACGGUUUUGCUGUCACUUAUAGAUGGAUCCGCGCCGCAUUAGCUAGUUGGUAAGGUAACGGCUUACCAAGGCAACGAUGCGUAGCCGACCUGAGAGGGUGAUCGGCCACACUGGAACUGAGACACGGUCCAGACUCCUACGGGAGGCAGCAGUAGGGAAUCUUCCGCAAUGGGCGAAAGCCUGACGGAGCAACGCCGCGUGAAUGAUGAAGGUCUUCGGAUCGUAAAACUCUGUUAUUAGGGAAGAACAAAUGUGUAAGUAACUAUGCACGUCUUGACGGUACCUAAUCAGAAAGCCACGGCUAACUACGUG